rnacentral:rRNA from 1 species
UACAGAGGGGGCAAGCGUUGUUCGGAAUUACUGGGCGUAAAGCGUGCGUAGGCGGUUCGUUAAGUCAGCUGUGAAAGCCCCGGGCUCAACCUGGGAAUUGCGGUUGAAACUGGCGAACUAGAAUCUGGCAGAGGGGGGUGGAAUUCCACGUGUAGCAGUGAAAUGCGUAGAGAUCGGGAGGAACACCUGUGGCGAAGGCGGCCGACUGGGCCGACCCUGACGCUGAGGCGCGAAGGCGUGGGGAGCGAACGGG